UCACCCCCCGGCCUGAACUCGGCUAAUGUACAAAAGGGUCAGGGCACAAUUGUCAGUGUGGACAAAAGAGACUGGAUGAUAGGUGUCAUUUGAUCGAAGCUGAGUCAUUAUCAUUCUUGAAUACCUUUGGCGAUUUAUUUUGUUAGAUUUGCAGUAACAACUCAUUAAAAUUUAAAGAUAUAUUUGAAUCCAUAAUAUUAAGAACCUAUUCGCGAGAAAGAUCGCUUUAUUAGCUCCGACCAUAGUGCAAACUUAGCUAAAAAACAUCGAUAGGAAUUAUUAGCCUAAGUUGCGAUAAUCGAAGAUCGAUUGCCUAACUGAUCUAAGGUACCUAACAGGGAGAAAACAACCUAAACUAGUGCGAACACCAAGAUUGUAA